AGGAGCCUGUCUGUGAAGGGUACACUCU
rnacentral:piRNA from 1 species